CCUACGGGAGGCAGCAGUGAGGAAUAUUGGUCAAUGGACGAGAGUCUGAACCAGCCAAGUAGCGUGAAGGAUGACUGCCCUCUGGGUUGUAAACUUCUUUUAUAUGGGAAUAAAAUGUUCCACGUGUGGGAUUUUGUAUGUACCAUAUGAAUAAGGAUCGGCUAACUCCGUGCCAGCAGCCGCGGUAAUACGGAGGAUCCGAGCGUUAUCCGGAUUUAUUGGGUUUAAAGGGAGCGUAGGUGGAUUGUUAAGUCAGUUGUGAAAGGUUGCGGCUCAACCGUAAAAUUGCAGUUGAAACUGGCAGUCUUGAGUACAGGAGAGGUCGGCGGAAUUCGUGGUGUAGCGGUGAAAUGCUUAGAUAUCACGAAGAACUCCGAUUGCGAAGGCAGCUCACUGGACUGCAACUGACACUGAGGCUCGAAAGUGUGGGUAUCAAACAGGAUUAGAUACCCUGGUAGUC
rnacentral:rRNA from 1 species